rnacentral:rRNA from 1 species
AUCUAUGGCCAUGCCACCCUGAAUGUGCCCGAUCUCUUCUGAUCUCAGAAGCUAAGCAGGGUUGGGCCUGGUUAGUACUUGGAUGGGAGACCACCUAUGAAUAACAGGUGCUAUAGGCA